UACAGAGGGUGCAAGCGUUGUUCGGAAUUACUGGGCGUAAAGCGCGUGUAGGUGGCGAUGUAAGUCGGGUGUGAAAUCCCUCGGCUCAACCGAGGAAGUGCACUCGAUACUGUGUCGCUUGAGUGUUGGAGGGGAUGGCGGAAUUCCCGGUGUAGAGGUGAAAUUCGUAGAUAUCGGGAGGAACACCUGUGGCGAAGGCGGCAUCCUGGACCAACACUGACGCUGAGGAGCGAAAGCCAGGGGAGCAAACGGGG
rnacentral:rRNA from 1 species